GCUUAGUGGUCUAUGGUCAAACAACAAGUUUCUUGCAGUCACUUUCUGUUUUCCCUAUCCCACACAGCCGCUCCCAUCCGGGGUGCCACUGCUAUCGCUAACAGAAAACAGUAGUGAGUGUGAGUAGAGAGUAUUGAUAAAAACUACCGCUAUCGCGCGGGAUUGUAUCGCGUGAGAAUACUCUAAACAGAUACAAAACCAAACAACUUUCAAAAAUCUUCAAAAAUAUUUCACCCUCCAAUCUACCCACAACCAGCUACUUACACUUUUGAAUCAAAAAAAGAUUAAAAAUUCUUUACCAAGUACUAGGAAUAACGAGAAAAAAGAGUGUAUCUUUGCAGCCCGCAAACGAGCGGACAACACUUGGAAGAAAGGCUUGAAAGCCGCGGAGGUAUUAGGUUUAGAGUUAGAAAUUACUUUAGAAAAAUAAAAUAAAAAGUUUUUCAAAAAGUACUUGUUAAUUUAAAAACACUGCUUAUCUUUGCAGCCCGCAAACGAGCGAUGAAAACAAGAUUUGAAACAUUAGGAUAGAGAUUUGAGAAAAUUGAAAUCGGCAAAAAAAACUUUUUAAAAUUUAUUUCUAAAAAGCUUGCUAAUUAAAAUUAACUCAUUACCUUUGUCGCCCCGAACGAAACGACGCUCGGCGGUUUUGAAAGAAAAACGACACUGCUUAAUAAGGUGAGAAAUUAACCUUUUAAGAUCAGAAGAAGUUCUUUGAUAGAUUGAGAAAUAAGGAAACAGCGUAAAUAGAAAUAUAACACAGAGCUUUAUAAUAUUAAACUUUUUAUACAACGGAGAGUUUGAUCCUGGCUCAGGAUGAACGCUAGCGGCAGGCCUAACACAUGCAAGUCGAGGGGCAGCACGAUAAAGCUUGCUUUAUUGGUGGCGACCGGCGAACGGGUGC
rnacentral:rRNA from 1 species